GGGAGGAAAAGGGGCAAAACAGGGGCAGGGUGGGGAAGAGCCUCCCCAGCCAUGGGGACACGGGGUCCCUCUGGCAUCAGGGACCUGCCUCCCUGCCGCCUCCCCACUGAUGGAUGGGAUCCAAAUGGCUGUAAAUUGCCGGGUGCUGCAGCCGUGUUUUACCCGCCGGGCUGGAGGAGCCACGUGCGGGGCACGGGCUGUCAGUCAAGGGCUCGGGGAGGGAGAGGGGACAGUCGGCGAGAUCCAUUCCCCGGCACUUACACCAGCGGAGAGAAGAGCGUAAAUGGGUGUGAUAAUGGUGCGACGGGGCCUCGCAGAGACGGUAUUUUGGAAAAGAACACAAUUAUCCCGCUUUGCUGUUCACCCUUAAAACCCCCUGUCCUGGAAGGUCUGGGGGAACUGUGUUCUGAAACGACCACGCAGCCUGUGUGAGCCCUGAACCCUCCCCAGGCAGAGUCCUCUCCUGCACUGUGCCAGCUCCAUGCACUGCACUGCAAUAGAAUAAAAUCAGCCUCUGCUCCCGGCCCAACACACAAGACCAGAGGGAGGAUCACGCUCUCCAAACUUUGCAGAAGGGAAAUGAAGCGCAGAGAGAUGAAGUGACCUUCCUAAGGUCACAUGGGGAAUUUGCAGCGGAGCCAAGGACUGAACUGAGAUCUCCAGGGUCCUCAUCUACUGCUUCCACCGUGAGAUAUUCCUUCCUCUUUCCCUCCAGCCAAGUUAAAAAUAAAACUGAGUUUCAUUUCCCUUUGGCAGCAACGUGA